rnacentral:lncRNA from 1 species
CCAGGUUUCUCAGCUCCUUCUCCAGCCGGCCGCGGGCGUGCGCCAGGAACUCCUCGCACAGCUCCUCCGCAGGCUCGCCCAGGGCCAGCAGCAGCUCCACGCACUCUGCCUGCUCCGGGGCGCCUGAGCCGCCCUCCCUAAAGCGCUGCCGCAGCUGCUGGGCCAGGCGGGCCGUGAUGACCUGGCAGUCGUCCUGGAUGGCGCGGAACGAGGGCAGGUGUUGGUACUGCUGCAGCACGGCCUGCGCGCGGCCCUGGUAGCGCACCGCCUGCCCAUAGGCGCCC